GAAUUUUGGUCAAUGGGCGAAAGCAUGAUCCAGCAAUGACGCGUGCAGGAUGAAGGCCUUCGGGUUGUAAAUUGCCUCUGUAAGGAACGAAAAGCAUUGGGUUAAUAACAUGGAUUCAUGACGGUACCGUAAGAAUAAACACCGGCUCACUACGCGCCAGCAGCGGCGGAAAUACGUUGGGUGCAAGCGUCAAUCGGAAUUACUGGGCGUAAAGCGUGCGCAGUCGGUUGUGUAAGACAGAGGUGAAAUCCCCGGGCACAACCUGUGAACUGCCUUUGUGACUGCAAGGAGAGAGUACGGCAGAUGGGGUUGGCAUUCCGCGUGUAGCAGUGAAAUGCGUAGAUAUGCGGAGGAACACCAAUAGCGAAGGCAACCCCCUGGGCCUGUACUGACGCUCAUGCACGAAAGCGUGGUGAGCAAAC
rnacentral:rRNA from 1 species